rnacentral:lncRNA from 1 species
CUGAAUAAUAUUUUUUGUAAAAAAUGUCUUAGGAAGCCCUUUUGCUUUUUUUUUUUUUAACACUUCUCCUAAGCUCAGGCACAUCUGUACCACUGAAAUUUCUGUUCUGUGCUUUCAGUAUACAGACUGUGAAAUAAAUAAAAGACAGCUUCUGCAUUUGAUAACCUUGAAGUUCUCAGAGUAUGUUUCCUUCCAAGGCUGGGUGGGAAGAAAUCAGUGACGAUCUCCAAGAAACAAAGCUCAUUUCCAUUUCUAUGAAUAGGACCAUUUGCGUUACCUUGAACCAGAAACUUCGUCACCGCCAGCAGCCCUCUACAAGGUAACUUUUAUCUCUACAGAGUUGCAAAAUAGGUCAAAGACAGAGAACUUAUAGACUGUCAGAGAAUCAGACAACCCGGAAGUGCCUGCAAGACAACACAAAGAAUUUUUCAAAGGACAUCCAGGAACCUUGCUACUCAUUUUUUUUUUUUAAACAUGGAGCUAAAGUAUCCAGAGUGUAUUCAUUUACUGAUUCACCAUUUUAAUACCACUAAUCUUCACAGGUAGAAACAUUCAGUGAAAAAACAUUGGCUCUCAGGCUUCUUCAAGUAUUAAGCCUUCGUGUUUUCCUGUUUUUAAACUGUACCAGCAAUACAAAAUAUACAGAGUAUUUGUUUAAUACCUUGUUUCAAAGUAUUCAUUUAUUACUUCCAAUAUUUCACACUCAGUAGUUUGUUUUGGUAUGUCUUUGCAGAACUAAUAAUGUUCCAUAAAGCAUUUCUCUUGAGGACUUCUAAUGAGUGCUAUUAACUGAACACUCUUAAUAACAUCUGCAGAUUCAUUCAACUGAAAGAAAGGCAUGUUUUUAUAGUUUCUGGAUCAGUGUUGUCCUAAGUCAUAUAGUAUGUUGACAGUAAGUGCAGUAAUGACACCUUUUCCAUCCCCUAUGCUUCAUUGGUUCAAAACCUAAUAUGUAUUGAUAACUUCAAUACAAGGUGGUAAAAGAAGUGACUCUAAAAUUGUUUGAGGCAUUGUGUAAUCUUUAGCUAUUCAUUCAACUCUCUUGCACCAGUUCCUUAUAACUAAAGUCCUUUCCUGAUUUGGGUUAUGAAGACACAUUUAAAAAUCUAAUCCUUUUGUGUGAGAAAGAGGAAUGUUUUUUAGUAAAUUUUAGUGUCAUUAUUGCUUCAUUUAAUGAUUUUUCCAUGUAAAUAAGAUAUUAGGCUGAAGAAAAAAAGGAUUAAUAGGAUAUAAGACUCCAGAUAGAUAGAUAGAUAGAUCUCGCAGGCUUGUCCUGUGAAUCUGAGACUUUAUAACUUUAAUGAGAAAGUUACCUAUCAUAACAGAAAGAAAAUAAACCUAUUUGAAUGUAAAUUUCUUCA